AACGAACGCUGGCGGUAUGCCUAACACAUGCAAGUCGCACGAGAAAGUACUUCGGUAUGAGUAGAGUGGCGCACGGGUGAGUAACACGUAGGUGACCUUCCGAAUAGUGGGGAUAACUCGGAGAAAUCCGGGCUAAUACCGCAUAUGUACGACAAAUCUGAGAGUAGUCGUAGAAAGAAUGCCUCUACUUGUAAGCAUUCGCUAAUCGAUGGGCCUGCGGAGCAUUAGCUAGUUGGUGGGGUAAGUGGCCUACCAAGGCUACGAUGCUUAACGGAUCUGAGAGGAUGAUCCGUCACACUGGAACUGAGACACGGUCCAGACUCCUACGGGAGGCAGCAGUGGGGAAUAUUGCGCAAUGGACGCAAGUCUGACGCAGCAAUACCGCGUGAGUGAGGAAGG
rnacentral:rRNA from 1 species